rnacentral:lncRNA from 1 species
UUCCCUUCUAUCACCACGUACACACUCGCACGACACUCCCUCUCCUUCUUCUUCUCUUCUAUCACAGCACACACACUCACGCGACACUCUCUCUCCUUCUUCCCUUCUAUCACCACUAUCACACUCGCGCGGUGCUCUCUCACCUUCUUCUUCUUCUCUUCUAUCGCCACGCAUCACUCUCUCUCCUUCUUCUUCCCUUCUAUCGCCACAUGCACACUCACGCGAUUCUUU